AGUCUUGUAUUCAAUUAUGAUUGUAAAUUGCAAAUUUACAGGUAAGUUUAACUUUAAGGCUU
rnacentral:tRNA from 1 species